rnacentral:rRNA from 1 species
GAUGAACGCUGACAGAAUGCUUAACACAUGCAAGUCCACUUGAAUUUGGGUUUUUACCUUAGGUUUGGGUGGCGGGCGGGUGAGUAACGCGUAAAGAACUUGCCUCACAGCUAGGGACAACAUUUGGAAACGAAUGCUAAUACCUAAUAUUAUGAUAAUAGGGCAUCCUAUAAUUAUGAAAGCUAUAAGCGCUGUGAGAGAGCUUUGCGUCCCAUUAGCUAGUUGGAGAGGUAACGGCUCACCAAGGCGAUGAUGGGUAGCCGGCCUGAGAGGGUGAUCGGCCACAAGGGGACUGAGACACGGCCCUUACUCCUACGGGAGGCAGCAGUGGGGAAUAUUGGACAAUGGACCGAGAGUCUGAUCCAGCAAUUCUGUGUGCACGAUGAAGUUUUUCGGAAUGUAAAGUGCUUUCAGUUGGGAAGAAACAAAUGACGGUACCAACAGAAGAAGUGACGGCUAAAUACGUG